UACGAAGGGGGCUAGCGUUGCUCGGAAUCACUGGGCGUAAAGCGCACGUAGGCGGAUUGUUAAGUCAGGGGUGAAAUCCUGGAGCUCAACUCCAGAACUGCCUUUGAUACUGGCGAUCUCGAGUCCGGGGAGAGGUGAGUGGAACUGCGAGUGUAGAGGUGAAAUUCGUAGAUAUUCGCAAGAACACCAGUGGCGAAGGCGGCUCACUGGUCCGGUACUGACGCUGAGGUGCGAAAGCGUGGGGAGCAAACAGG
rnacentral:rRNA from 1 species